ACACUUUAAAAUUAUGAUUAAAAUUUUCAUUAAAAUAUUUCACUAUCCCCCAAUUUAUAAUUGAGCAAAAUAAUUAAGAAAAGUAAUUAUUAACACUUAAAUAAAUCGUCUCUCUCAUCUCUCACAAAAUUCAUUGCCCAAAUUCACUAAUCCUCUCUCACACACAAAAUCAUUUGCCCAAAUUCUUCAAAUCCGUCAAAUUUCUUUGCCAAAAAUACUUGAAUUUCAUAUAGCCGCAAUUCAGUUCACAAUGGAUUUGAAGAAAGUUGAAGGAUACAUACACACACGAAGAAAUAAAGGGUUUUCAUUGUCGUUGAUAUUGAUUUUGUUGUUGUUGGUGGUGGUGGUGGUGGUGGCGGCGUUACAAUGUGAGGCUGUGAUGAUUGAGGUGUGUAGAGUUCAUAGGUGACGGAACUAUGCCCGUAGCUUUGCGGGGCAACCUAAAAUGCCUCAUUGAAAGGAAUCAAGUAUCUUGAGGAAAUCAACGAAAUGAAAUGAGAAGAAAGCAGCUAGUGAAAGGAGGUAGUAUGAGGGAAAGAAUUAUGUCUCUGGUGAUUAGUUGACAUUACAAAAUUAAGUUCUACUAUGCUAAGGUCCUAUGAAACAAGCCUGAUUUUUGUCGCAAGCCAUGGCCAACUAUAAGCAAUAGUGCUAAAGAUUUUGUUAAGAAAUUAUUAGUGAAAGAUCCGCAUUCUAGACUUACUGCUGCACAGGCCUUAUGAAAUUGAACGGUUGCCACAGAUGUUUAGGAUAUGAUUGGCGCUACUCUUUUAUCAGGAAAUUGCUCGGUUACAAUUUUGUUGACCAUUUUAUUAAAUUGAUCACGUCACUUUGCUGUAACAUCUGGUAUAACUCUUUAUAUAUAUCGUGUUUUAUGCUCCAUUCAUCUCUCAGAUUAAUUUAGCAUAUGUAUAGUCACAGAACUUCUUCACGCCUAUUUUGGAUGGAUUCAAUUGUUAAGAUAUUGUUUUUGGCAUCAUGUUAAGCCUCCUUUUCCCAUGCUUUAGAAAAAAGAAAAGGUACUUGCCAAGUUCACAAAUUGUUGCCAUGUAUCCUAUAUUGGAAGGAUUUUCUAGUUAGAAUUGAAAAUAUUUAUUCAGUUUUGAGAGUAUUAAAUAAUGAUGUAGGUUAAAACCAUUCUUGUCAAGGGUUGACUAUUGAACUCUCCUAGAAGUUGAUUUUUCUAUUCUUCAGGUAACUAUGUUAGGUCUUGGGUUAAUUUCUUGGUAGGUCGUUACUGAUGUUUUUGUCAAUUUAUCUGCUAAUUUAUGUAUGAAAUUCCCUGCACUAUACACCUGCUACUGAUAUCUAGAGCAUAAGAUGUAUCUAGGUGGAGUUUCCUGACAGGAAAGCCAUUAUUUUAGGACAAAAGAGUCAUUUACCAGUUGGAUUUGAUUAGUGAUCUUCUUGAGAUGCCAUCAGCCUAUAUCAUAUCUUGGGUUUUAAUGAGAAGGCAAGGAAGUAUUUGACAGACAUGACAAAAAGAGCCUAGUUCGUUUUGCUGAGAAAUUUUUCAAAAGCAGAUCCUUUGACGCUUCGACUAUUGCAGAGGUUGUUAGCAUUUGAUUCAAAGGAUUGCCCAACUGCUGAAGAGGAAAAUGCGGGUAAUCCCAUUUGAAACGGUGGCCACAAGUCAUUUCGAUAUAUUGAAGUCAACGAUCAAGACUUUUUUUAACAAUUAUAAUGUUUCAAUUUACACUUGGUGUUGUGGAAAUUUUUGUUAGUGAACAUCUCGAAAUGUUUUUUAUUACAUAAUACAGUACAUAUGUUUCUUUUUUAAAGUUAAUUGCAAACCUAUACAUUUGAUUUAUUAUUUUAAAAUAAAUUUGACAAUAAUUUAGUA